rnacentral:rRNA from 1 species
UGGUGGAGUGAUUUGUCUGGUUAAUUCCGAUAACGAACGAGACCUUAACCUGCUAACUAGAUUAGUUUGUUAAUACAGGCUAAUGCUUCUUAGAGGGACUGUCUGGUACAACCUCAAGGAAGUUUAAGGCAAUAACA